rnacentral:rRNA from 1 species
CUCGUAGGUGGCCAACUAAGUCACACGUGAAAUCCCUCGGCUUAACCGGGGAACUGCGUGUGAUACUGGAUGGCUUGAGUUUGGGAGAGGGAUGCGGAAUUCCAGGUGUAGCGGUGAAAUGCGUAGAUAUCUGGAGGAACACCGGUGGCGAAGGCGGCAUCCUGGACCAAUACUGACGCUGAGGAGCGAAAGCCAGGGGAGCAAACG